rnacentral:lncRNA from 1 species
GGUUUCGAGUGAUGGAGUAAAUUUCUUUGUCUCGGUUCGGCGGCCGCGUGCGGAGGAGGUUUGCCGCCGGGACUCUGCGGCUGUGUUUACCGACCGAAAGUCGUGGAGGAAACUGGCAAAAAACGGUUAGCAGGGGUCGUCGCCACUGGGUGAUUUUUAUUUUCUUCUUAGAUUUUUUUUUUUCCACCGUCAACAUUUAUUUUCAUAAAAAGAGAAAAAAAGUAAAAAAUAAGAGCAGCUGACACUUUUAUAGAAGUUUUUGCGUGCCGAGAACUGAUUAAGGUACUUUUACAUGCGUUAAGUAACUGAGUAAGGUAUUUUUACAUGCAUUAAGUAAUUUCAUCCCCAUAGCAACCUUAGCGGAAGGCACCUUACUGUCUACAUUUUAUAUAUGGGGCGACCGAGGCACAGGGAGGUUUCCCCAGGUCACGGAGCCGCGACGACAACCCAGGCAGUGGUUCCAGAGUCUGGAAAGUAGGUCCCAGCGCUUACCAGGAACUUUUCGUCUCCUUUCUGAGUGUGGAAAUCGUGCUGGUAAAUGCAGCUCGUGAUUCCUUCCUCUAAGAGGAACUUCAGGAAACGUUUUCCCUAAACCUCAAGAUGAAGUUCUCCCAGACAACCCAAUCUUGGUAGCUGUCUGCUCCUGUGUGCAUGUGAUUUUUACCAUUUUCAAGUGUACAGUUCAGUGGCAUUAAAUACACUCACACUGUUGUGUAACCAUCACUGCAGUAUGCUUCCAGAACUUUUUCAUGAAUGCCAAUGAACUCUAUAACCAUUAACCAAUAGGUCCCCAUUAUCCUCUCUCCCCAAUCCUGAUAACCUCUCAGCUAGCAUCUGCCUCUAUGAAUUUGCCUAUCCUCAAUAUUUCAUAAACCUUGAACUCUACAAUAUUUAUCCUUUUGUACCUGGCUUAUUUCCCUUGACAGUGUUUUCCAGGGUCAUCCAUGUCACGGCCUGUGUCACGACUUUACAGUGGCUGAAUGAUGUGCUAUUGCAUGUACUCAACACUUUUUGUUUAUCCAUUCUUCCCUGGAGGGCGCUUGGGUUGCUUCCUCCUCAUGUCUAUUGUGAAUACUGCUGCAAGGAACAGUGAGGUAUAAGGAUAUAUUUGAGUGUCUGUUUUCAGCUCUUUGGGGUAUAUACCUAACAGUGAAAUUGCUGGGUAAAAUGGUAAUUCUAAUGUUCAGCUUUUUGAGGAACACCAAACUAUUUUCCACAACGGCGACACCAUUUAACAUUCCCACUAGAAAUGUAUAAGGCUUCCAGUUUCUCCACAUCCUUGCCAACACUUGCUGUUUUCCUUUUUUUUUUUUUUUUUUAAGAUUUUAUUUAUCUGGGAUCCCUGGGUGGCGCAGCGGUUUGGUGCCUGCCUUUGGCCCAGGGCACGAUCCUGGAGACCCAGGAUCGAAUCCCAUGUCGGGCUCCCUGCGGGGAGCCCGAUGUGGGACUCUAUCCUGGGGCCCUGGGAUCAAGUCCUGAGCCAAAGACAGACACUCAACUGCUGAGCUACCCAGACAUCCCUUUUUUUAAGAUUUUAUGUAUUUAUUCAUGAGAGAUACACAAAGAGGCAGAGACAUAGGCAGAGGGAGAAGCAGGCUCCCUGUGUGGGAUCACGCCCUGAGCCGAAGGCAAACACUGAACCACCAAGCCACCCAGGAGGCUCCCCCCUCUUUUUUUUUUUUUUUUAGUUGUAGCUUCUUUUAAUGGUGGUUCUGAUGAGGGUGAACUUCAUACCCUGGCUUCAGGCACUGAGUCUUAUAAAUGAAGAACACCUGCCACUUUUUUUUUUAAGAUUUUAUAUAUUCAUGAGAGACACAGAGAGACAGAGACAUAGGCAGAGGGAUAAGCAGGCUCCCCUUUGGGGGUCCGAUGCGGGACUCAAUCCCAGGACGUGGGAUCAUACCCUGAGCCAAAGGCAAAUGCUCAACUGCUGAGCCACCCAGGCAUCCCCACUUACCACUUUAUUGACUGGAUUUCUGCAGUGGCAGACUGGUCUUCCUGAUUCUACUCUUGGCUCUCUUCAGUCCAUUCUUCACACAAUCGAGAGAUCUUUUACCAACCCAAAUCAUACUGCCUUGCUCCCCUGCAUGAACACUGCAAUACACUUAGAAUGAAACCCCGACUCUGAGCAGCAUGAUCUAGCUCUUCCCUACCCCAUCAGCUUCUGCUACUACUACUCUCCCCUUGUUCCCUCUACUCCAGUCAUAUUGGCCUCCGUGUUACCCACACAAACCAAUCUUAUUCCCACCUAAGGACCUUUGUGCCAGCUGUUCCCUUCCCACUACCCAAAAUGCUCUCCCUUCAAUCAGUUUGUGACUGACUCGUGCCCAUCCUUGGAUUUCAGCUCAAAAAGAGAGUGCCCUGACCACCCCAUAAACCAACAGCACCCACCUUGCAGUCAGGCCCUACCCCAUCCCUCUUAUCUGCCCCCUAGCAUUUAGCACUCUUUGAGAUCAUUUUAUUAGUUAAUUUGGUGAACUUGUAUAUAGUCUGUCUUACUAGAUGUGAGCUCCAGAAGGGUGAGGGCUUUGUUUUUAUCUUGUUCACUGCUGUAUCUCAGGUUCUUAGUAUAGUGCGUGACACAUAGCGCUUGGUAAAUGCCAGGUGAAUAAACAAGUGAAUAAAUGUCCUUAUGUGAUUAUUUAAAAAGAUUUUACUUAUUUGACAGAGAGAGAACACAAGCAGGGGGAGUGGCAGGCAGAGGGAGAAGCAGGCUCCUCGCCAAGCAAGGAGCCCAAUGCAGGGCUCCAUCCUAGGACCCUGAGAUCAUGACCUGAGCUGAAGGCAGACACCUAACCAACUGAGCCACCCAAGCACUCCUCCUUCUGUGUGUUUUUGAAUCAUUUUCAGAUGUAUAUCAAGUCUGGAUACCCAUGUUUGCUCAACUCAAAUAGCUCUUAUGUCAGCUUUCUCUCCACCCCAUCAUUGCCUGAGCUCUGGAGGGUAGGAAUCAUGUCCAACUCUUGUGCCAUAGAGUAGUGCUGCAAUUUCACCAUCUAUAAUGAAGGACUAACAUUUUAAAUUUCUAAUCCAGGGGCACCUGGCUGGCUCAGUUGGUAAAGCAUGUGACUCUUAAUCUCAGGGUUGUGAAUUUGAGCCCCAGUUGGUUAUAAAGAUUACUUAAAAAUCUUUUUAAAAAUAAAUUAAAAAUAAAUUUCCAAUCCACUGCAAACGGUACUUAUGUGAAAUAUGAUGAAAUAUUGUAGCAAUGCCAGUUUGCUAGAAAAGUUUCUAAAAUCUUAUUCUCAACUUCCAUAUUUUAUUGGGAAUAAACGGUUUACAAACGGUUACUAGGUACGUCCAUAUUUUGAAUCAAAUUGUCUUAGAGGGGAGCCCGGGUGGCUCAGCGGUUUAGCGCCGCCUUCAGCCCUGGGCAGGAUCCUGGAGACCCAGGAUUAAGUCCCAUGUCAGGCUCCCUGCAUGGAACCUGCUUCUUUCUCUGCCUGUGUCUCUGCCUCUUUCUGUGUUUCUCAUGAAUAAAUAAAUAAAAUCUUAAAAAAAAAAAAAAAAAAAAAA